GCCAUCCUUGGGAUACCACCCUUGUAGUACUGGGACUCUAACCAUAGGCCAUGAAUCUGGUCUUGGGACACUGUCAGGUGGGCAGUUUGACUGGGGCGGUCGCCUCCCAAAAGGUAACGGAGGCGCUCAAAGGUUCUCUCAGUACGGUCGGAAAUCGUACGUAGAGUGUAAAGGCAAAAGAGAGCUUGAUUGCAAGACAUACAGGUCGAGCAAGGAUGAAAAUCGGACUUAGUGAUCCGGUGGUUCUGCGUGGAAGGGCCAUCGCUCAACGGAUAAAAGCUACCCUGGGGAUAACAGGCUUAUCUCCCCCAAGAGUCCACAUCGACGGGGAGGUUUGGCACCUCGAUGUCGGCUCAUCACAUCCUGGGGCUGUAGUAGGUCCCAAGGGUUGGGCUGUUCGCCCAUUAAAGUGGUACGCGAGCUGGGUUCAGAACGUCGGGAGACAGUUCGGUCCCUAUCCGUCGCAGGCGUAGGAAAUUUGAGAAGACCUGUCCUUAGUACGAGAGGACCGGGAUGGACGUACCUCUGGUGUACCAGUUGUCCUGCCAAGGGCAUGGCUGGGUAGC
rnacentral:rRNA from 1 species